rnacentral:rRNA from 1 species
CCAAUAGCGUAUAUUAAAGUUGUUGCAGUUAAAAAGCUCGUAGUUGAAUUUCGAAAUUUUUUUAUCGGUUGAAUCAACAGGUUCUUACUGAUUUUAAGAAUUUCUACCUUCUGGAGAACCUUAAUGUCAUUUAUUUGAUGUUUUGGGAAACCAGGACUGUUACCUUGAAAAAAUUAGAGUGUUUAAAGCAGGCUUAUGUCUGAAUAUAUUAGCAUGGAAUAAUGAAAUAGGACGGCAUGGUUCUAUUUUGUUGGUUUCUAGGAUCACCGUAAUGAUUAAUAGGGAUAGUUGGGGGCAUUAGUAUUCAAUUGUCAGAGGUGAAAUUCUUGGAUUUAUUGAAGACUAACUUCUGCGAAAGCAUUUGCCAAGGAUGUUUUCAUUAAUCAAGAACGAAAGUUAGGGGAUCGAAGACGAUCAGAUACCGUCGUAGUCUUAACCAUAAACUAUGCCGACUAGGAAUCGGACGAAGUUAAUUUUUUAAUGACUCGUUCGGCGCCUUACG